GCUGCGGCAGCGGCCACCGGGGGCGCUGUGGGUGAGGCUGGGCCGGCCCCGCUCCCGCCCCCGCUGGGCUGGCACCGGCACGCGCGGCUCCGCCUGAGGGCCCGCGGGGCGCGGGGAGAGAGCGGGAGCGACCCCGGGAGCGACCCCGCAGCGCCGGGAAGGGGAGCAGCGCUCGGCGUGGAGUUUCACCGCCGGGAGUCUGCCGGAGCUGCUUUGGAGGCUGCAGCUUCUGUGCUCUAGGUCUCUUCCAGCCCAAACCACUCUGUGAUUCAAGGAGCAAGGAAGGCCCUUUUCCCAGUGAAGUGUUGUGUCUCCUCUUGGCUCCCAGCUUGCAGUUGCCAGUUCUUCUGGAAGCAGGCCCGGCCACUCAGCUGCGAUUAGUCACUAGAUCUCGAUAGGAGGAGUGUGACAUGUUCACAGAGAGGAAGGCUGUAAACAGAUCUUCAAGGCCAAGGCAUUCAGAAAUGUUUGCUGAUGCCAUGCCAUUUCUGAUGAGUAAUCAGCAGAAAUGUGUUGGAACAACACCCAUCAGUGACUUCACAAAAAAGCCACAGUCAGACAGACAAUCUACAACUUUUCCAGAGGCAUGGGGAAACGUAGGUGCAAGUUCAGCUGAGGAAGUCAGAGGCCUGCCCGAUGUAGUUGUUCCUGAGGAAACAGGCAGCAGUACAUGGAAGAACCUGGCAGAACGGCGGCAAAAGCAUCACGAUAGAGCAGUGAUGGGAAUGCAGCGGGAGCUGGGCUGCAUUGGCAGGGAGAUGGCAGCCUCUGUUUUGAAUCUUCAAGAAUUCCUUCAGCUUCAAGUGAUGAAAUCAGAUGAAAAGAGUAAACUUCUGUUUGAAAAGGUUGCAUCUGACAUGGCUUUGGAAGCCUUCUCAUUUGAAGGUUUGGAAGAACUCUGGAAUAUGAUACACGAGGAGUCCUCAAACAGAAGGAAGUGUAUCAGGGCAAUGGAUGCAUCCCUAAAGGAGACUGAAAGGAGUGGAGCCAUGAAAAUAACAGAGGUACUGACCAAGUAUACAGUGAAACUGGAGGAAAUUUCCUUCUUCUUGGCAGCUGAUGUUCACAAGCUCAUAAACAAUAAGGCAAUGAAUAUAAGCAGAGCAUUGCUGGGUAAUGAGAGGGCAACUGCCAAGCUGCUCUUUAAUCUAAUGAAAUCGGAGCUUGAGAAAGAAAAAUUGCAUCAACUGAAGUGGCAAGAGAGAGUCAAGGACUGGAAGCUCAUCCAAAAGAACUGUGUUAUUCAGAGCUUCAGAGUAUUUAUGGCAAGUGAAGAAGUACAGAAUCCCCCAGCUGUGGAAAUGGAAAAUAUGAUUAAGGAGCAAAUUGUACUUGGUGAACAGAGACUGAGGGUUUCGCAGCAUAUUGGUGCCUUGUUGCCUCCAACACAUACAAAAUCUGACUUAAAUGAAUGGUACAGAACUCUGGAGAAUUUAAACACAAGUAUAGACACCCAUAGUGCAGAGUUUGUGGAGAAAUUGCGUGUCCAGUAUGAGCUGGUGCAGGGCAAAUGUCAGGAAAAAGUGCAGACCUGCAAGGUGAGUGUCCCAGUUUUGGGUGUGGUACCCGUGGUACAGUGUGCCAUUACAGUAAAAUGUGUUUGAGGAUCCACCAAACACUGAGAUAACAAGUGAAAUUAGUUUUUAACCUCUAUCUUAGUCAGUUCAAAAAGUAACCAUCCAUUUAGUUUCACAGUAGUGUUUGGCAUUUGUACUUGAAAUGUGUAAAAGCUGUAACAAAUGCCAGUAAUGAAGGGGGUUCUGUCCUGUGUUUAUGUGGAGAAUGUAAGGACCUUCAGCCUUUGUGCUAAAUCUAUCUUGGCAAAUCUGUCUUGCUCUCUGUCUCAGUUUCUCCUUCUGUAUCCAGUUGAAUUGUAGUGUUUAGUAAACAAAUGUGGGAUAUAGGAGGCUGAGUCUUUCUCUGUCCAUCACAAGAGAAGAAACACUAAGUUUAGUCAUGCUUUCUGAAAGUCAUGCAUGUCAAUAAGUUGCUAUUCUUUUCAUUUAAAUGACCCUGUUGGAUAAGAACAUUUGCAAAGUAGAAGAUGUUGAAAUUGUACAUUCCAACAUGCUUCAGAUGACUGAGAAACUAAAACACAGGUUUGAAGAAGAACUGGAGCACAUGGAUAGCGAUUUUAAGGAGAUGGCUAAAUGGCAUGAGCAGCAUUGUCGAGGCUUGUACAGCUGUGUUCAGGAGGCCAUGGGUCUGUGGGAUGUCCAUCUACUCAAACUGUCACA